ensembl:miRNA
UUUUCGGACGUGCUUCAGUCACGAACCUGCUUAUUGAAGCGUGCAGAGCGCUGUCCGAUAAUG